AAAAAUUUGCUUUUUAUUUUUUCCCCUUAAAAAAGAGAGAAAAAAUCCCCCCCUUUUUUUUUUU
rnacentral:tRNA from 1 species